rnacentral:lncRNA from 1 species
GUUCAGAAAUAGGGCGCUGGCUUUGCCAGGAGCGGCUCCUCUCCAAGCCUGGCGGUCACUGCCCUGUGUCCCCUUUUGGGCCUCUCCUGGUCCUCCUGGUUGGAUUAGGAGGCCUCUCAGCCCGGAGUCUGGGUCGCCGAAGUACAGGCCCCUUCACUGAAGCGACCCACGGCGCAGGGGUUUCUGGAAGCCAUCGCCAGGCUCCGAGUGUUCAGAUGCAGCUGCCAGGCUCAGGACGCAGAGAACUGGCUUCCAGCUCGCAGGAGCGCCUGUCCGUGGUGGGUAGGGUCGCAGGCGUGGGGUGUGCAGGAGCAGUGGGACAGCACUGAAACGCAGUCGGAAGAGAUACCACGGUGUGCAGGCACAGGGAAAAGACCACGUGAGGACACAGAGAGAAGACGGCCGUCUGCAAGCCAAGGAGAGAGGCCUCAGGUGAAACCAAACCUGCAGGCACCUUGAUCUUGGACUUCCAGCCUCCAGAAGCUUGAGAAAAGAAAUUUCUGUUGUUUAAGACACCCAUUCUGUGGUAUUUGUUCUGGCAGCCCUAACAAACUAAUAUAGGGAUCUAAAGAUUCCUUGUCUUCAUUUUGAGUAAGAGACUAUAAACUCAGAACUGUGGAGAUCUAGUUAGGUAUUGUACAGCUAGCCUCAUUCUGUCUUAAACUCCAGGUAAAAGAGAAAAAUAUGGAGACAGCCCCUGACUUUGGAGAACUUGCAGUUUUGUGGAGGUGAAAGGAGGCAGCCACAAGAAAAACCCCUGACAUCAAUUCAAAACUAUAAAUAACAAAGACUAACUUGUUCUAUGCACAACAGGUACUACAGCACUGUCCAACAUGGGGACAUGUGAGUGGCCUGAAGCAGCACAAGAACUGGGCAAUAAACUUGAGAUGAACCUCAAAGCAUCAAUAUUAUUCAUGACUAAACUGGGUUCUAAGAAUUUCUAUUUUUACUCUCAGUGUUCAGUAGAGGUCAUUAAAAAAAAAUCUAGCAAUUUUUUUUUCUAAAAUGAAUAUGUAAUAAGAAUGAAAAACAAAAAGCACUAUAAUGUUUUUAAUUAAUGAAAUGCCUUUACGAACCAAGGUGCCAUCUUGGAGAAGCUAGGCAUUAUGAGGAGCUAUCAGGAGCACAUUUGCUAACAGCUUGGCAUGAGCAGGAUUUUCUUGACCAACUGGCAAGAUGGGGCUGCUCAGCUCCUGCUGGCAGAUUUUUAUGGAGCAUAGUUUUACAAAUUCAGCCUACAACUCUGAUACGUUCCAAUGUAUUUUAAACAUCUAUUCAGUUGCAACUCUAAUCCCAGGAACCUGUGGCUAACAGAAGGCAGAUUUAACUGACUAGCAGCUGUGGGAUUUUCAAAGUCUAAACUGAAAUGAACAUGCGAAACAGUUGGACUACCCCAAAAGCUGAAUUACAAUUCCAGCACUCACCAGCUCUGAAACCUCACUUGGUUACCUAACGCCUCUGUGCCUCAGUUCCCCAGCUAUAAAAUGGAAAAGGCAACAAUACCAACCUUGUAGAUUAUGUUUUGGAUUAAAUGAGGCAACACAUACACAGCACUUAGAACGUGCAAGGCACAAUGGAAGCAUGCAGUGAACAUGACUUGUAAUGAUGCUGACUGUCAUAACUCUCAUCCAUAGGGAUGCUGCCUCUGCUUGUCACCCUUGACCUAUAUAUUUUCAGGCAGUCCUCACCCAGUCCCCAUUUGUGUGUUCUAGAUAGAAAAGGCCCCAUACUAUGAAAUGACUACUGUCCUUCUGCAUGAAGCCUGGUGAACCUGAUAAUGUAGCCUUCAAGUUCCCUUACUGAGCCUUGAGCUCCCUUCAAAGUAUCCAAGCCAACCCUGUCUUGGGAAACUCACCUAGAUAAUGCCCUGAACCCCAAUAAAGGCUCCAGCCCACAGGUCCCUCCCUCUCUCUUGGUCCCCACCCUUUGGCUGGGCAUGUGUGUCCUCAAUGUCUCCAAGCCCUUCCAGUAAGCCCUGCAAGGUGUGCUGGCCACUGUUCUCUGGAAUCUGUGAGUAAUAAACAAUCUUUUUGCCAUUCUGCUCU